GGAUGUGUGGGUUGCUGGUCACCAAUAUUUUUAAUUCCCUCCUCUGUGUUCUGCAGGUGAAGAGGUGGACCUUAUCAUCUCCACCAUAUAGUAGAGCUGAUAUUUGGGCUGUCGUCUCCUUGGGUCCUGAUUCCACCUUGUUGGUCCCUCAAGCCAGGACAACUGUGCUACCAUAUCUUGUGAAAGAGUGCGUCAUAGGCAGCAGUCCCACACCUCAACUGGAGUCCUGAGCAGAUAACCAGAUCAAGAUACAGGUCAAGAGAACUCCCCAGGAUGCCCAGUUAUGAGAACAAGGCCAAAGCAGCCUGCCUCAGCACCUGUCGCAUUCAAAUCAAAGUUUUGCAGAACCAACAUAACAUCUCUACGGAACCCUAGUGUUCCACAACGGACACAAUUUGAAAACCACUGCAAUAAGAUAAAUUCCUGGUGUAAGUGACCAAAAGUCAGCUGGAGGAAGCUUAAGUCAUAAAAAGGGAUUUAAUGGCCUAUAUUACCAAACUGUGGGAGAGCUCAGGGUCCUACUUACUGGGACUUUCUCUUAAACCUGUUAAGCAGUGGUUCCCUCUUCCCCUCUGCCAGCCCCGGGCAACCAUCAAUCUACAUUCUGACUCUAUGGACUUAUCUAUUCCAGAUAUUUCGUGUAAAUGGAAUUGCACAAUACGUGAUCUUUUGUGUCUGGCUUCUUACACUUGGACGUAACAUUUUCAAGGUUCAUCCAUGUUGUAACAGGUACCAGUACUUCAUUCCUUUGUUUGAGCAAGAUCCCACUGUAUGGAGAGAUCACACUUGGCUUGCCCAUUCAUCUGUUGAUGGAUAUUUGGGCUGUUUCCACCUUGUGGCUAUUGUGAACGGUGCUGCUAUGAACAUGUGUGAACAUGCAUUUGUAUCAGUUUUCCAUCCUUCUGGGAAUAUGCCUGUGAGCGGAGUUGCUCAUCAUUACCAUUUGCCUGGUCAGUUGCAGUCCUCCAAACUGGCCUCCACAUGGUUGUGAGGGUCAUCCUUUUCCUUUUCAAAAGCACUAUUUUCCUUCCUAUAAAUGAACAUGCUUCUUUUAAAGCUAUACAUGUUCAUAGUCAAAAUUUUGAAAAAUACAUAAAAGAGUGAGUAUGAGUGUGUGUGCGUGUGUGUGUGCGUGUAAUACAGGGGAUUAUAACUGACAUCUAUGAAUUUAAUAAAGUCUCUAGCAUUCUGGUGCCCA